AAUUCGCAAGGAAAGAGGGCAGGCCCAAACAAACCUGGAAGAGGUCAGUCAUCAGUGAAGCAGAGAAUACUGGAAUGACAUGGAAGCAGAUAAAGAAAGCUGCUCAGAACUGAGUUCGGUGGAGAGGUGUGGUUGCGGACCUAUGCUCUCUUGCGAGUGCACAGGAUUAAUUCAGUCCAUAAUCUACUUUUAGAUAAAUCUUCAGCCAUGCUCCAACCUCUCAUGCCUCUCUGUUGGCCGAUUUGGCACAUUUUCUAAACUAAAGUUAUGCUUGGAGGACAGAUUUUCAGCUAAAGAUGAUGCUAUCAUUUUUGUAAACAAAAAA